ACAUUUGCAUGCAGUAAGGGCAAAAUAUACUCUUUUCAUGGGUUUGUAUAUUUAUGACAGCCUUGGAAAAUGAGAGAAAACCUGGGAGUAGGUCUUUGAUAUAGACUGUGGGAGAGCAAAAACCAUUACACAUAUGUCUGAGGAUAACACUACCAAGGUUUCCAUUCCUUUAAAAUAAGACCAUCAGAACAGCCUCAUAAACAGUGUUUGUACCUGUCAUUAGCUCAAAACAGAUUCAACCUCAAGGGCCAAGACUGGGGUACAACUGCCAUCAAUAUCACUCAGAGAAGAGGGUAUGUCACCCAUCAUAUGAAUAUCAAGAGAAUUUUGGUGUUCUAUCAGUCCUUCUAAUCUUUAUAAACCUCAUAUGACAAUACACUAAA